UACAGAGGGGGCAAGCGUUGUUCGGAAUUACUGGGCGUAAAGGGCGCGUAGGCGGCCUGCUAAGUCGGAUGUGAAAUCCCCGGGCUCAACCCGGGAACUGCGUCCGAUACUGGUGGGCUUGAAUCCGGGAGAGGGAUGUGGAAUUCCAGGUGUAGCGGUGAAAUGCGUAGAUAUCUGGAGGAACACCGGUGGCGAAGGCGGCAUCCUGGACCGGUAUUGACGCUGAGGCGCGAAAGCUAGGGGAGCAAACAGG
rnacentral:rRNA from 1 species